AGAUGCCGCUGUUGCCCAGGUUCCGGAGAAUUUUCCUAACACUCUGGAAUAGGAAGGAGCCAAGAGAAGUUACUUAGUCAUCCCAUGCCAAGCUGUUGCCAAUGCUUGGGCUGGAGCCAGUUAGUGACAAGGAGCUUGGUACUUCCGAGGUGUGCAACUCCACCCAACGGUCAUGAUGAUUUGAAAGUCAUUCCUAUGUUGAGCCAACAUUUUCCUCCAUGGGCUUCUAUCCAUUGGUCUCAUUCCUCUGCAGCCUCACAGAUAGAGACUAUUACCUCUGGCCAGAGGCACCCAAAGGAUGGGAUCAUGGGCCCUUAUUCAGGAUUAAGUGUCUACUUCCAAUGUAAUAAUAAUAUUUCACUAUGUAAUGUUUAAGUUAAUAGCAAAUAAUAAACUUCCAGGUUUAUGCAUCUCUU